rnacentral:rRNA from 1 species
UACAGAGACUGCGAGCGUUACUCGGAUUCACUGGGCGUAAAGGGUGCGUAGGCGGCUAAAUGUGUCAGAUGUGAAAUCCCGGGGCUCAACUCCGGAACUGCGUCUGAAACUAUUUAGCUAGAGACUCGGCGAGGUAAGCGGAAUUCCAAGUGUAGCAGUGAAAUGCGUAGAUAUUUGGAGGAACACCGAAGGCGAAGGCAGCUUACUGGAAGAGAUCUGACGCUGAGGCACGAAAGCGUGGGGAGCAAAAGGG